rnacentral:rRNA from 1 species
GGCGAACGGGUGAGUAACACGUGGGCAAUCUGCCCUUCACUCUGGGACAAGCCCUGGAAACGGGGUCUAAUACCGGAUAUGACUGCGGGAGGCAUCUCUCGUGGUGGAAAGCUCCGGCGGUGAAGGAUGAGCCCGCGGCCUAUCAGCUUGUUGGUGGGGUAAUGGCCCACCAAGGCGACGACGGGUAGCCGGCCUGAGAGGGCGACCGGCCACACUGGGACUGAGACACGGCCCAGACUCCUACGGGAGGCAGCAGUGGGGAAUAUUGCACAAUGGGCGAAAGCCUGAUGCAGCGACGCCGCGUGAGGGAUGACGGCCUUCGGGUUGUAAACCUCUUUCAGCAGGGAAGAAGCGAGAGUGACGGUACCUGCAGAAGAAGCGCCGGCUAACUACGUGCCAGCAGCCGCGGUAAUACGUAGGGCGCAGGCGUUGUCCGAAUUAUUGGGCGUAAAAGCUCGUACGCGGCUUGUCACGUCGGAUGUGAAAGCCGAAGCUUACCU